GGGGCAGCCUACAAUGCAGUCGAACGGAGACGGAGCUGGAAGGGACAGUUUACUGUAACGGAAAGAUCUGUCUUAGUGGCGGACGGGUGAGUAACGCGUGGGCAACCUGCCCUGUACCGGGGGAUAACACUUAGAAAUAGGUGCUAAUACCGCAUAACGGGGGAAGCCGCAUGGCUUUUCCCUGAAAACUCCGGUGGUACAGGAUGGGCCCGCGUCUGAUUAGCCAGUUGGCAGGGUAACGGCCUACCAAGGCGACGAUCAGUAGCCGGCCUGAGAGGGCGGACGGCCACACUGGGACUGAGACACGGCCCAGACUCCUACGGGAGGCAGCAGUGGGGGAUAUUGCACAAUGGGGGGAACCCUGAUGCAGCGACGCCGCGUGGGUGAAGAAGCGCCUCGGCGCGUAAAGCCCUGUCAGCAGGGAAGAAAAUGACGGUACCUGAAGAAGAAGCCCCGGCUAACUACGUGCCAGCAGCCGCGGUAAUACGUAGGGGGCAAGCGUUAUCCGGAUUUACUGGGUGUAAAGGGGGCGCAGACGGCGAUGCAAGCCAGGAGUGAAAGCCCGGGGCCCAACCCCGGGACUGCUCUUGGAACUGCGUGGCUGGAGUGCAGGAGGGGCAGGCGGAAUUCCUGGUGUAGCGGUGAAAUGCGUAGAUAUCAGGAGGAACACCGGUGGCGAAGGCGGCCUGCUGGACCGCAACUGACGUUGAGGCCCGAAAGCGUGGGGAGCAAACAGGAUUAGAUACCCUG
rnacentral:rRNA from 1 species